rnacentral:lncRNA from 1 species
GCGUUGCUGCCAGUCAGUCAGUGGCCUACUGACCUACAGUAGCUUUUUGGUGGAAUAGAAUCACAGAGCACCGCUGUAACGUGCACGGUUAAUUAAACAUGGUUCCGACCCGAUCACGGAAGCGGGAUAGCGGCGAAGAAGCAGCCACUUACGGUUGGUUUCUCUUUUUUUUUCUUUUCCUUAUUAUUAGGUGAGUGCUUGUACGUUGCAACAUGAUAAAAUUUUUUUAUAAAAUUACCUGAUUCAUUGUGCGAAGCUAAUAUAAAAUAGUAUCACACCACAAUUACAUGCCACA